UUUUCGAUCCCAGCCAUCCGCAAAUCAGUCGAUCGCUCUCUCCGCGAUCGUCUCCUCUCUCUUCCGAGUCUGGUUCCGCCAUCUUCCUCUCUUUCUCUGCUUGCAUUUUAUUUUGGUUGUAUUCAUUUUGUUUAGCAUUUUCAUCUCUAACGUCUUUCCUUUCCACGUUGGUUGAUUAAUAAGUUAUAAUACAACACAAUAAAUCGAAAAUGGUAUAAAAUUUUCCAUUUACACCCAAAACAAAAAGGUUCAAAAACAUAAAAUCCAUAGUUGCCGAUGUGUUAUCUGAAUAUUUAAUUUAGUCAUUAUAUUAAAUUUUUGUGAAAUAAAAAAAAUACAAAUUUCCUAAGAUAAUCU